rnacentral:rRNA from 1 species
GAUGAACGCUGACAGAAUGCUUAACACAUGCAAGUCAACUGUGGCGGACGGGUGAGUAACGCGUAAAGAACUUGCCCCACAGCUAGGGACAACAUUUGGAAACGAAUGCUAAUACCUGAUACUGUGAGAGAGCUUUGCGUCCCAUUAGCUAUUUGGAGAGGUAACGGCUCACCAAGGCGAUGCUGGGUGGCCGGCAUGCGAGGGUGAUCGGCCACAAGGGGACAGAGACACCGCCCUUACUCCGACGGGAGGCAGCAGGAGGGAAUAUUGGACAAUGGACCAAAGUCUGUUCCAGCAAUUCUGUGUGCAAGAUGAAUUUGUCGGAAUGUAAAGUGCUUGCAGUUGGGAAGCGGUACCAACAGAAGAAGUGCCGGCUAAAUACGUGCCAGCAGCCGCGGUAAUAC